rnacentral:lncRNA from 1 species
GGAGUAUGACUUGGUCGUGUGGCCCCUGCACCUAAUUAAUGUAAAUUAAAAUGUUCACACGGCCUAGCACACGGGCAUAUGGCUUGGCCGUGUUACCCAAGUCAAUAACCAUCCUAAUUUGGACACGGGCUGGGACAUGGCCAUGUGUCCCUAUUUCGAUUGUCCAUACGGCCUGAGACACGGGCAUGUCUCUCGACCGUGUAAGACACACGGCCUGGCUGCACUGGCGUGUAUCCC